rnacentral:rRNA from 1 species
GACGAACGCUGGCGGCGUGCCUAAUACAUGCAAGUCGUACGCUUUGUCUUCACCGGAGCUUGCUCCACCGAAGACAAAGAGUGGCGAACGGGUGAGUAACACGUGGGUAACCUGCCCUUCAGUGGGGGAUAACACUUGGAAACAGGUGCUAAUACCGCAUAAUAGUCAGAGUCACAUGACUUUGAUUUGAAAGACGCUUUCGGGUGUCACUGAAGGAUGGACCCGCGGUGCAUUAGCUAGUUGGUGAGGUAACGGCCCACCAAGGCCACGAUGCAUAGCCGACCUGAGAGGGUGAUCGGCCACAUUGGGACUGAGACACGGCCAAACUCCUACGGGAGGCAGCAGUAGGGAAUCUUCGGCAAUGGACGAAAGUCUGACCGAGCAACGCCGCGUGAGUGAAGAAGGUUUUCGGAUCGUAAAACUCUGUUGUCAGAGAAGAACAAGGGUGAGAGUAACUGUUCACCCCUUGACGGUAUCUGACCAGAAAGCCACGGCUAACUACGUGCCAGCCGCCGCGGUAAGAC